UUUUUUUUUUUUUUUUGGUGAAGACAGCAUCUAACUAUGUUGCCAUGCUGGUCUCAAACUCCUGGCCUCAAGUGAUCCUCCCGUGUCAGACUCCCAAUGUGCUGGGAUUACAGGUGUUAGCCACCAUGCCCAGCCUCAAUUUUUUUAAACAAGGAAAGACAUAGCUUUUACAUUUCCAUCUGCUCAAUUAACAGGUUUAUUGAGUACUUAAUAUGAGCCAGGUAUUGUAUUAGAUUGGGGCAAAAGUAAUUAACAACUGAGCUCAUUACUUUCAGUGGCAAAAACUGCAAUUACUUUUGCACCAACCUAAUACUAAGCAAUGACAAUAUAAGGGUCACAAGACAGGCAUGGUCCCUGCACCCAUGGAGCUUAUAGUCUGGUGUCAGAAUCAAACCUUAGCAGGUAAUUUUACAUAUGGUGGAUGUAAUGAGAAGGGAAGUUAAGCAGCAGCGAUGGGGCACUCACCUGCUUUGAGGGAUCAACAUUAAAGCUAAGGCUUGAAAGAUAAAUGGGAGUUCACUGGAUUCAGUCUCAGGAUGGAGAAGAGUGUUGAGGACUUAAAGAGCCACAAAUAUAAAGAGCCUGAGGCAAAAGCAUUAGAACCCAAAAGAAGACCAGUAUGGCCCUCUGUAAUGAGGCAAAACAUAAAACAGGAACAGAGACAAAAGUUCUGCAGAGUGACAGAGCAAUCCUUACAAUCAGAUCUCAUAAUGUGACUUAUUACUGAUUUAACCAUCAUUUGCUCUGAACAAGUUAAGACUUCUCCCCAGAUGGCACGAACGUAGAGAUGUGGGGAUACAAAUGGAGAGAGUGGCCUUGGAUUGCCUGUUGAAGCAGUUCUUGUUCUGAAGGACACAAGAGUGAAUGAAAUGGAAGGGCCACAUUUCACCUGGGGACACCCAUUCUCAGGUUUCUCAGAAGAUUAAAAUCCUAAAGUUUUCUGCAGUGGAAACUGGACCACAAACAAGCUUCCAAAAAGCUGUGGGGAGCACAAUGAGCGAGGUACCAAAUAGGAACCCCUUUGACAAUGGAUGCAACCAAUUUCAUUUGCUGUAUAAACAAUUCAUGUGAAUUGAGGACAGCUCAGGUGGAAAACAAUUCAACAAUCAUUGCAUUUAGGCUUCUUACCUUAAGAUUUAUUUGUUCCAAGUAAUUUUUUUUCUUUCCUUAAAUCCAAUUUUACCAUAGUGCCUUGAAUGACUUCUGUAGAAAUACUGGAAUUCUGAUUAUACUGUGCAGCCUUUUGCUGUCAUUGUAUUGCCAUUUCUUUACUCUUUUAAAAUAACUUUUAUAUGUAAGUUAUAGUAUGCGGUAUAUGUUUGGAUAUCAUAGACUAUGUCAGGAUGGAUAUACAAGAAACUAGGAACAGUGGUAUCUUUGGGCAGGGGAAAAGGGCAGAAUGGCCACUUGGUUGCAUAACACUUUCGUGUGGUUAAGAUGAAAAGGACUUUUUUUCUCAAAGCCACGAGUUAUGGCUUAUCCAGCAGAUCCCUGGCUAGAUUACAGCCCCCACUCACUGCCUUAGCCAGGGGCCAUUGUGCAGCGACGUCUUGGACAAUCUUACAUGGCAGCCCUGGAAAUGAGGAACUGAGGAACAAGGAUGUGAGGGAGGCUUACAUUUCAUUGCUGAAUAAGCUUUUGUAUGAUUGCAUGUGCGUUUCCAAUUAGAAAUCAAAAAGUAGUAUGUGCAAAAUUAUGACUAGAUAAGAGCAAUGCGUUCUGGUGUUCUAUAGCACUGUAGGGUGACUGUAAUUAAUAAUAAUAUAUAGUUUCAAUCAUCUCAAAGGAGGAUAUUGAAUAUUCCCAGCACAAAGAAAUGACAAAUGUUUUACAUGAUGGAUAUGCUAAUCACCCUCAUCUGAUCACUACACAUUAUAAGUAUUGAAACAUCACUGUGUAUCCCAUAAAUAUGUGAUGAUUGUGUCAAUUAAAAAAUAAAACAAAAGCAUAAAGAAGUAGUAUGUGCUAAUAUAGAAAAACAGAAAGAAAAACUUCCUCCACCACAAUAAAUUAAAAUCAUCCAAUGAUCAGAACUCAGAAAUCAGUACUGUCAAUAAAUUUUUAGUGUAUUUUCCUCUAG
rnacentral:lncRNA from 1 species